GAAGAUCAAGGAAUUCAUUGCUUAUAUCAUCGUCUUUAUUUUUUUAAAAAAACCUUGCAACUUCGAACUAUAUAAUUCACAUCUAUCGGGUCCUGGUACUUCUGAACUCCCUCACCGUAGCCGACCCCCGCGAUUGUGAAAGACCGCCGCCCUGCUCGUCGUGUUCCGUCGUGGCCACCUUGGUUCGUCGGAGCUUUUCGUCGUGCCCAUCGGUUUGAUCAGUUUAGUUCUUCGAUCAGGAUCAGCCGCUACUCAGACCGUUGCAGCCGCACUCCGUCUUCGAUCGAGCCCCGUCGUCACGUUACUCCACCGUGUUCAGGCCAGAGCCGUUGCUACUGCUCGACUCGUUUCGUUUGAUCACCUGGAGCUCUAGUUUCUUUUUCUUUUUGUCUCCGGUUAGCUCCGUUUGCGUUUAAGAUAAAGAUGUCUACUAAACUUUGAUAUGAAGAGACAAGUUGGCGUUUGUGACUGUAGAGGAAAACUUGAUUAUUGGUUUUGCUUGUGUGCUAAUAAGGUAAUUUGGGAAUCAUGGGGAAUAAGUGAAGAGUGUCGUGAAGAUAAAGAUUUUUUUUUUCGGUGAUGUAAUGAAAAUGUGUCACACCCCAACCGAUGGCGGAAUCAUCGGGGCGCGGCACUGAGCGAAACAGAUUGUCCAGAAGUUUCCACAACAACUAUUAUUACAAAUUCAGUUAAAUGAUACGUCCCAUACCGUAUCCCAA
rnacentral:lncRNA from 1 species